CGGAGGAUCCAAGCGUUAUCCGGAAUCAUUGGGUUUAAAGGGUCCGUAGGCGGUUUAGUAAGUCAGUGGUGAAAGCCCAUCGCUCAACGGUGGAACGGCCAUUGAUACUGCUAAACUUGAAUUAUUAGGGAAGUAACUAGAAUAUGUAGUGUAGCGGUGAAAUGCUUAGAGAUUACAUGGAAUACCAAUUGCGAAGGCAGGUUACUACUAAUGGAUUGACGCUGAUGGACGAAAGCGUGGGUAGCGAACAGGAUUAGAUACCCUGGUAGUCCACGCCGUAAACGAUGGAUACUAGCUGUUGGGGGCAACUUCAGUGGCUAAGCGAAAGUGAUAAGUAUCCCACCUGGGGAGUACGGUUCGCAAGAAUG
rnacentral:rRNA from 1 species